AGCAAACUCUUGUCACGGUAUAUUGCGUACAUCCUUCACUCUUUAUUACAAUGGAUAUUGUUCUGGUAGAUGCUGGGUUGUGAGUCAUAUUUAAAAGACUUUUUUUUUUUUAAGACAAGGUUGCUGGUAGUACCUCUGGUUUUGGCGCCGAGUAAUAUUAGAAUCUGACAAAAAGCAUUUCGAUAAGUAUAUCAAGAAGAUAUGUUUAUGAUCAACAUAUUAGCGGUGAUAUGUUAUGAAGAAAUAAUAUUAUAAAUAAAUGAUUUACGAAAAUGAGGUGAAGAAAAAAAUAUAAAUAUUUAGUUCAAAGAUUGAAAGGAUAAAAUUAAUGAUGACUUAAAGUCUGAGUAACAUAUACCUUUGCCGAAAUCUGAAAACAGCUGUGUUGCUCUGUUCACUGAAUUAUCCGAGAUAUGACUAUAGAUUAGUAGUGCACAAUCAUAUCUGUUAUCAAGUAAUCAUUAUCAAGGUAUGAUUAGAGAGAGCUGUGAGUUGAGGGUAAUUCUAUAGCAAAACCGGGAGCCUAAAAAACAGAGGAUGAAAAAAAGGAUAUUUGAGGCUGGUACGAAUGAGAAAAGAAAAGAAGAUGAUAAUGUGAGAAAGAAAGAAGGCAAGAGUUCCAGGAAAUGGAUGUCAAGAUAGUCAAUAGGGUUCAUAGGAUUUAGUGGAAUGUGAAGAUGAUACGAGGUACGAAACAGUACGGUACAUUCACCAAUGACCGAGUGGCACGGAUCCUGGUGAUUAUUAUAACCCUUGGUAUCUCUCUUCCAACAGAAACUUAUACUGUGUGCAUCAACAUCAACAAUGAGAAAUAAAUAACAAUAAUAACAGCAAUAAAUAGAUAUAAGAUGAGUAAUAUAAUUGGAGUUACGCGGCGUGUCGCCGUGGUAAGACCAUCGCCGCUGACCUCUGACAUUCUUCAAUGAUUCGGGCCUUUGAGGUCGCAGACCAUCUCAGACUCUCACUUAUUUUGCCAACCCAUUUAUUAUUAUCUUUAUAAAUUCCCCCACUCUCUACCUGCAAACGCAUCCUAUUUCUUCAUUUAAUUUUAAUGUUAUAAUUUAUAAUUAAAUGAAGAAAUAAAUUUUGGAAAAAUU
rnacentral:misc_RNA from 1 species